rnacentral:rRNA from 1 species
GAUGAACGCUGGCGGCGUGCCUAAUACAUGCAAGUCGAACGCACCUAUGAUGAGGUUUCCUUUCAGACAUUUGGGGCGAGGAGGGGAGUAACACGGGGUAAAACGUGCUUAAACUACCGGAUAAAUUGGGGAAACAGGUGGUAAUAGCUGCUAAUAUCUCGAAACAGAUUGUUCAGCAGGGAAAAAGAGUUUUAGGGUCUUUUGGGGGUCGCUGCGCGCAGGAUCCGCGGCGCAUUAGCUAGUUGGUGAGGUAAGGGCUCACCAAGGCAACGAUGCGUAGCCGACCUGAGAGGGUGAUCGGCCACACUGGAACUGAGACACGGCCCAGACUCCUACGGGAGGCAGCAGUAGGGAAUCUUCCGCAAUGGGCGAAAGCCUGACGGAGCAACGCCGCGUGAGUGAAGAAGGUCUUCGGAUCGUAAAACUCUGUUGUUAGGGAAGAACAAAUGUGUAAGUAACUGUGCGCGUCUUGACGGUACCUAAUCAGAAAGCCACGGCUAACUACGUG